rnacentral:rRNA from 1 species
UACGUAGGGUGCAAGCGUUAAUCGGAAUUACUGGGCGUAAAGCGUGCGCAGGCGGUUUUGUAAGUCUGACGUGAAAUCUCCGGGCUUAACCCGGAAAGGUCAGCCGAUACUGCGGGGCUAGAGUGCAGAAGGGGCAACUGGAAUUCCCGGUGUAGCGGUGAAAUGCGUAGAUAUCGAGAGGAACACCUGCGGCGAAGGCGGGUUGCUGGGCUGACACUGACGCUGAGGCGCGAAAGCUAGGGGAGCGAACGGG